GAUGAAGAACGCAGCGAAAUGCGAUAAGUAAUGUGAAUUGCAGAAUUCAGUGAAUCAUCGAAUCUUUGAACGCACAUUGCGCCCGCCAGUAUUCUGGCGGGCAUGCCUGUCUGAGCGUCAUUUCAACCCUCAUGCCCCUAGGGCGUGGUGUUGGGGAUCGGCCAAAGCCCGCGAGGGACGGCCGGCCCCUAAAUCUAGUGGCGGACCCGUCGUGGCCUCCUCUGCGAAGUAGUGAUAUUCCGCAUCGGAGAGCGAUGAGCCCCUGCCGUUAAACCCCCAACUUUCCAAGGUUGACCUCAGAUCAGGUAGGAAUACCCGCUGAACUUAAGAAUAUCAAUAAGCGGAGGA
rnacentral:misc_RNA from 1 species